UGAGGGGAUUAACCAGCGGUCGCGAUGGACAGUAAGAUUCCCUCAAAGUUGCAAGGGAUUAUGAAACUACCAGAUUUAACACCGUCUAAAGCUUUCUUUGCAACUCCGUCGGCUUUCAUUGCGCCAGAGGAGGCCGCUAUAAUACAUGUAAACUGUGGUUUUCUUUUGUUUUCUGCAAUGAAUGUCCACCUUUUAGUUCCUGAGAGCAAUUCAGUUACAGCAGAACAGAGUCCUCCAACAUUUGAUGUAGAUGCGUAUAUAACAAUCACAACAUAUAAUAAAGACCACACAUUCAUAGGCACAGAGUCCAUCACAACUUAAUACCAUUCCAUCUGACUUUGGUGCUUCAAAGCGUCCGCCUCGCAAUAAUUUCGCAACAACACCAGAUGGUUUCAACUUUUCAUUAUUAACAAUCCUUUUAUCCACCCGCAUGUCACUCACUAGUGCCCGCACUAUCUCAGAGCGGCAAUACAUUGCAGCCAAGUGCAAAGGUGUAUUUCCAUCGUAAUCCUUGUCAUUUAUAAGUGCUUCCAGAUCUCGAUUUCCUAAUAUUUCUUCCACUAAUUUCAUCUGUCCACUCUUCGCUGCAACAUGAAGAAUAUUCUGUACUUUUUCGUUGAGAAAAUCCAUUGGAUCGAACCAUUAAGCAAGUAGUUCGCGAACUACUUCAAGAUGGCCCUUCUGGCAUGCAACAUGGAUGGGUAAGUUGCCUUCUUCGUUUCUUUGUGAUGCGGCAACAGGACAUCGACGAACCAGGAGUCUUGCUCCAGAAAGGAAGCCCAUGGAUGCUGCAAGAUGAAGGAGAUUUCCCCCUUUUUUGUCCUUGAGAAGCAUUAUAUCCGGCUUGCCUUCCUCUAGUUUUUCUAGUGCAGCAUAAUUUUAAAAUUAGAUCAUCAAUACAAAAAACACAAAAUGCAUGGAAAUAACUUGAAUUUUAUGCUUUAACAUAAAAUGAAAUUAUGAAGAAUCAGUUUUAAUGAGACCGAUAAUUAUAAGUGUGACAUGUUAUUUUUCACGUCCAAUGAUGAAAACAUGUGAUUACCUAAAUUUCCUUCAGCAUAGCUUCUAUAAAAGAAGCAAAUCAUCUCCUCGUCGCAACUCUCUACUGCCAAGUACAACGGAGACUUGUCUUCCUUUUCUUGAGGUAGGAUUCUAGGUCUUCCUUUUUCCUGGGUUUUUUCGUUCGUUUCGUCCUCUCUGCGUUUGCUUGCUUUCCCCUGCUUUUGUUUCCCCCAGUUCGUCCUAGUUCGUUCCUCCUGGUGUGCUCUGUGUGUCUUGUUCCCCUGUUGUUUCUGUUCGUGGGUUUUCUCUGUUCUUUUCGUUCUCUCCGUUCUCCUCUGGUUCUCUCGGUUUGCUCUCAGUCCUCUGGCCUUCCUCCUCUUCGUCCUUAGUUCGUCCUUCUCCUUGAUGUGAUGAUUGUUAUUUCACAAAAACAUAAGAGAUAUAAAAAUAAAUAAAGAUAUCAAAUAAACCAACCUUUCGAUGAGAGAAGGCUUUACCUCAAAAUGAACAUAAUUAUUAAUUAAAGAACUCUAAAACGAGUGGGAAAGUACUGUAGCUUUCCCCACGGUUUUCCCUGCCAAGACAUAUCAUCUCUGCCACUAAAUAUAUUAUAACUGUGUAAGUUUUCUUCUUUUUUUUUCUUCUGUCAACGACAUCAUGAUGGGGUUUCUGAAAUACUUUCAAAAAUUAGACUGUUGUUGUUUUCUUUCCGUGUAAUUGGGUCUUCUUUUCCUUCUAUCAAGGGAACUGACAUCUUAUCACCUUUAAAAUAAUAAAAAGGCGUAGAGAAUGUCAGGCUGCAUUAAAUGCUUUCAGGCUCCGUUUAGAUAAAGUCAAGCUGGCCAAUCUUUGGCAUCAUCUCCGUUUUCAUUGUUUCCUUUUCCAUUUCGGUUGGCAUUUCUGUUAUUUGAUCACAUUGUCACCUCUUUUUUUCCCCAGCCAAAACCCACACUAGCAAUCAACAUCCACUACACUAGCAAUCAACAUCCACCGUCGUUUUUCUGCCUUCUCCAGUGGCUGAAAUGGAUCACCAGCACCUCCACCGUCAACCACCAGCAGCUCCACCGUCGACCACCAUCCUCGCGACAGUCCAGCAACAGCAGCAAGUACCUCCCCCAGACCAGGUUGCUUCUUCUCUUCUUGCUUUUCCACGCAAAUCAUGCAUGAAUACUGUAAAAAAAAAAACCAACGAACCCUGUAGAAUACAUGAGUAAUUAAUUACCUGUUGCUUGCAAUCUGUUUUGCCAAAGGAAAUAGCCAUUUAGUUAAUUAUUAAUUUGUAAUAAUGAUGAGCAAUUGGUUACAUAUAUUUGGUGUUUUUUUUUUUUUUUUUAAACCCUUUGCAAUCCGGCUCAAUCUAAAAUCAUGUUCUCCAAAAGAGGGGCAACGAAGCAAAGUCUUCUACAGCAAUCAACUUUUAAAAAUACGUUCUCAAACUCGGUUCCUUCUCCUCCUUCGCAGAUCGUCGCCUUCGUCAGAACGCAGACCACUGGAUCGAAGCCGCACGGUCCCUUCUUUGCUUCUGCGUCGGCGGUGACCUCCACCGCUUCUCAAGGAAUGAGAUCUAGCUGCCGUAAAGUUCAGCCUACUCUUUCCUUCAAAUCUUCUCCGCCGGUGGAGAUCUACCUUCACCUGAAACAAAAGAAAAAGGCAAACCCAAACAGCAAUUGGUUUUAAUUAAUUUGUUUACAAGUCUGUUCUUGGUUCUUUCUUAGAGCUGGCGGCGUUGUGAAAUGAAGAACGGGCGGCUACGGUUGAAGGACACCGUGGGUCUGUCGCCGGCUAAGAGCUGUUGCUGGAGGCGGCUGUGCAGGGGAGCCGGCCUGUUUGGUUGAGAGUGAGAGGGAAAAUGGAAGCUGCCAGUCGUGAGGCAGAUCGGAGGAAGAGCGGUAGUUGUGGUCGGUUUUGUAAGGGAGAGGGGGCUGUGAGCGGGUGAAGGGAACCGAAAAUCAACAAGUUGGGCGAAAAUCAAAAAGUUGGGGGGCCUGAUAUUGAAAGAAAGAAAACGAAACGGCAGGCUGACUGAAACCGCAUUGAUUAACGAAUAAGCAUGUUCUCUUUAUUUCUGAUUAACGAAUUGUUUAAGACAGGAUUAGAUAAUGAUUAAUAAUUAAUUAGAACAUGCACAUGGGGAUCUUGCCUUGAAUGAAGCAAAAGCUUCGAUAUAUAAUGGAUGACUCCGUGUUUCAUGGACCCCUCACCAAGCUUGGAUGAAUCGGGCAUAUUAAACAAACAAGUAUUACUUUUGAGGUCUUAAAGUAAUGGAUGAAUUGAGCUUUGAUUGAAGCUUGGAUUAUAUUAUAUUAUAUUUAUUAAGACCUUUUGUUAUUUGAGUGCAGGACCGUUUUUGAUGAAUGGACAAAUUAAUAAUGAUAAUUAUGUAUUAAAAUAUCACAAACGGUAUUAAAAGAGCUUAAUUAAUUCUUUUUAGGUGGUAGCUUGAAUAUUAAUUUGGUGUUCCUAGAAAGUGGAUAGAUAGCACGCCUGUAUUUUUUCCGAUUCAUUUUUUAUAAAUCUUGAGCUGAACAAUUCUUUGUGACAAAUCAAGCCAUGAAAGCUGUAUAUGAAUUAACUUUGUGGCGCAGCGUGUACAACGAUAAACAGGAUAAUAUAAUUUAUUGAUACCGUAUGAAAUUAAACUUUGUCUCUGGUGAGGUUGUAAGGUUGUGUAUGAUGGUUUUUUUAAGAAUAUUUGAGAAUAUAUUAAAAAUAUUAAUUUAAUAUUUUUUUCGAGUAAAAACAAAUAUUGUAAAAAGUAAAAUUCGUCCACGUAAACAAACACCCGAAGUCUGUAAUUUUGUUAGUGUUUGAUAUAAAAAUAAAUAUAAAAGGACUUAAACCUUUUUAAAUCAGAUGGACACUCGAGAAACAUAUUAUUUUUGUUUUUAUUGGAAAGAUUGAUCAAAAGCUAAUUUAAAAAAAUAUUUUUACUUUUGGAUCAAAAUCAUGCCCUAUCAUAGGAUUUUAUUAGCUAAUAUAAAAAUAAGCAUGCCCUAGAGAAAGGGAAAAUGAAAAAUAUUAAUCAUAUCCACAUCAUAUAUAUAUAUAUACUAGCCUUGGUACCCGCGCUAUGCUGCGGGUCAUUUUUUUUAUAUAAAAAUAUUAAAAAAAAAUAAAAAUUAAAAAAUCUUGGGUUUUUUUGCAAGGUCAUCCCAAGAAUCUUGGGUUUGGCUGCAACGCCUUACCUAAAAAUAAUAUUAAUAAUAAAAUUAAACUUGCAUGAUACAAGUUUAAAUGAGCCUAAUUGCAACACCGGACUAAAGAAUUUUGGAUGUGGGUCUGGCUAUAAGGUCGUGUUAUAAAAGUGUGAUAAUUAAAUAAAUUAAUUAAAAAAAACAAAGAAAAAAAAUCAACAGAAAGAGAAAAACUAAUGAAAAAAAAAGAAAAAGAAAUUAAAUUAAUUAGGUUAACCCUUUCAUGGAAGUUUGAUAACUAAAUAGAAUUUAAUUUUUUUUAAUGAAUUUUUUUGUUUGAUUUAGUUUGUUAAUGUUAUAUUUAUUUUUUUAGUUAUCAGAUUUAUAAGAUUAAUAAUAUUAAUAAUAAAAUUAAACUUGCAUGACCCAAGUUUAAGUGGGGUGGCUGCAAUACCAGAUCCAAUAGUCUUGGAUGUGGGUCUGGCUGCAAGGUCGUGUCAUAAAAAUGUGAUAAUUAAAUAGAUUGAUUAAAAAGAAAAAAAAACUAACAGAAAAAAAAAACUAAUGAAGAAAAAGAAAAAAAAUGAAUUAACUGGAUUAACCCGUCAAAUCUGGAAUUCGCAUCAUGAAAGUUUGAUAACUAAAUAAAUGACUAUUGGAUCUGGUAUUGCAGCCACCCCACUUAAAUUUGGGUCAUGCAAGUUUAAUUUUAUUAUUAAUAUUAUAAAUCUGAUAACUACAAAAAUAAAUAUAACAUUAACAAACUAAAUCAAACAAAAAAAUUCAUUAAAAAAAAUUAAAUUCUAUUUAGUUAUCAAACUUCCAUGAAAGGGUUAACCCAAUUAAUUUAAUUUCUUUUUCAUUAGUUUUUCUCUUUUUGUUGAUUUUUUUUCUUUGUUUUUUUUAAUUAGUUUAUUUAAUUAUCACACUUUUAUAACACGACCUUAUAGCCAGAUCCACAUCCAAAAUUCUUUAGUCUGGUGUUGCAAUUAGGCUCACUUAAACUUGGGUCAUGCAAGUUUAAUUUUAUUAUUAAUAUUAUAAAUAUUACUUUUAGGUCAGGCGUUGCAGCCAAACCCAAGAUUCUUGGGAUGACCUUGCAAAAAAACCCAAGAUUUUUAAAUUUUUGUUUUUUUUUAAUAUUUUUAUACAAAAUAAAUGACCCGCGGCAUAGCGCGGGUACCAAAACUAGUACUAUAAUAAAACUCAUUCAAUAAACCACAAGUGACGGACGAAUUGUUCAGUAUUGUAGCACAAAUUACCGUAGACUAUGAAUGUUUUCACUGUAGACCGUAUUAUUUUGAGUUUAGUUUUUUCUAAAAGUACUAUUGGUUGGGGAGGCGUAACAGUAGAGGCUACCCUUGGAUCAAAGAAUUGCAAAUACUACAGGGUUGGGGUUGUUUUUUUUUUUUUUUUGAUUGAGGAGAAAAUAAUUAUUUUGGAUUUUAGUGGGGUAGCACGAUUUAAGUUGUAGAUAUCUAGCACUUGACAUGACUCAGAUAACAAACUUCUAGUGCUAGGGCCAGCUAGUGAGCCUGACAAUAACACCUGGCACUGAGGUUGUUGUGCCCUAGGCGUUAGGUAACCGCACACCAUGCUGAAGACCUGACGAGCAGGUCUGCAAGCCCGUGCACAUAAUAUAAAGGAAAAAUAAAUUAAUAUUAUUUUUUUAUAUUAUAAAAAGGUUGAGUGAUGAUAAUUAUUUUUUUUAAAUUAAAUUGAAUAUCCUAAUUAAAACAUGUUUGGUUCUGUGUUGCAUAGCGUUGGGCUAUUGAUGUAGUAAUCACUACCACUUGUUUAAUUAGGAUCAGUGAAAACUAAUUUUUAGUCCUCACUUCUUGUUUUUUUUUGUUAUUGUUUAAUAAAAGUAGUUCAUUCCUUGAAUUAUAACGAAAAUAUUUUAUAAUUAUGCAAAUAAAAAAUUUUCCUUUUUCUUGUUAUAUCGUAAUUACGAUAUUUAAUCUAUUUUUGUGUAACAUUGUUAAGACAUUAUUUGUUAAUUAUUUUUUUUUAACUUCAACCAUUAUUUUAUUUUCCCCCCCAGCAUUUUAGAAAACACCCUAGAGAUCGGGAAAAAAAGAAGAAAAGAGUAUGUUAUAUUAACAGCUCCAUGCCCGUGUAAUGCUUGUGUUAGCAAAUGGGUGGUGCUAGCUCCAUUCGAGUGGCAUUUCUCAGCGACCGAAUACUAGUUUUUGUUGUGUCAUUAAAAGUACUACAAUAUACUCUUUCUCGACAUGUGAUGUUACUGGGGGUAGCGAUAUGAUGUUGGUGACCUUUUUAUCUUUUCAUCCUAUUUUAUUUUUUUUUCUUUUAAAAAUCAUGUUAGCCAUGUGAAAUUUCAAAGUUGUCCUCUAAUUUAUUUAAUUUAUUGAAAUGUCAAAUUCAUCAUUUAUUCUUGAUUUUUUAUUUUUGUUUUUGGUCAUUUUGUGAAAUUUUGAGUUAUUUUUAAUUUUAUCUUUCAAUCUCAAUUUAUUAUAUAUUAUGUUUUUUCAAUUUAGUACUCAUUUUUUUGAUAGUUUUAUUUUUUGAGUCUUUUUGUUGAAUUAAAUUUCUUUUUAAUUUCACCCUUCAAUCAAAAAUACAAUUUAUUUUUUAUUUUAAUUUUAAUUCUCAUUCCUUCAAUUAUUAUUUUUAUCUUUCUAUAUAAUUGAUUUUUCAUUUUUAAAUUUUAACAUUUGAUUAGUUGUGAAUUAUACUAUUUUUUUAUCCAAUUUCUUUAUUUUAUAUUUAAUGGGUCGGAAAUUGAGUCACAUUAUUUAUUCUCUUUUAAAAUAAUAUUUUUUCAAGUUAUCAUGAUCAUUUUUUCUUAAUUUGUUCUAUAUACUCUAGCUCAUUAUUUUUUUUAUUAUUUAAUUAAAAUAAAACAAAUCUAUUUAGUCUAGUCUAUAACUGGUCUAUCAUUCAUUUUUCUCUAUGCUUUAGAACAUUAUGUUUUAUAUGAAAGAAAAGGAAUCCAGCCCCACAUCAUAGCUCAGGUCCACGACUAGUACAUACUAUAUUUAUCAAAAACGCACGCGAUUAGUUGUUGUCAAACUAUUUAGUGCUAAGAAUUCGAAAGUCAAGUACCCUGCAACAUGGAAGAACUCUGAAGAGACACACCAGUGACAUGUAUGUUCUGCUCUAUAUAUAACCAAAGUCGUUACAAGAGAGAAGAGAAAGAGCUUAAUAUCUAUUUGUUACAAGAGAUACAAAUUACAAAAGAAGACAAAAUACUUAUUUUGCACCUGAAACUAUCAAUCUAAAGGUCAAAAAAUAUUGGGUAAGAACAAAACAGACUUGGAAUGUGAUGAUGCCUAUGAAAUAUCUAGUGUGUUCUUGCUGCGUCAUUGCCAGGAUGAAUGUAAAUGCUAAACCCAUGCAGAGAAGGGAGUAAAAAUUACAAAAUGUCGCCUUCUUCAUGCUUGAUGUUACAUCACUGGCACGACCUAAUGAUAUCUGACAAAGGAUUAUAGCGGCGACGAGGGAGAAAUUCAUAGCUAGCAUGUCAAAAUAAAUAUAAGCUCUCAUCAGAGUUUUUGAACUACCACUGUUAAGAUCACGACCUGAUCCAGAACUACCACUGUUAAGAUCAAGACCUGAUCCAGAACUACCACUGUUAAGAUCACGACCUGAUCCAGAACUACCACUGUUAAGAUCAAGACCUGAUCCAGAACUACCACUGUUAAGAUCACGACCUGAUCCAGGCACAGUGAUAGCACCAGCGAAGGUUACUCCAGCUACCAGUACUGACACCACGAGAAGAUUCCCUACCCUUCUGUUCAGUUCCUCCGUCGUUAACGUCGUUCUUGGUAAAUCACACUCAGUCUUAUCAUCUGCCUCCACCAAAACUUUAAAUACCUUACGCUGAACAACAAAGUGUUAAUUAGAAAAUAUAUGGUAAUUCAUCGCUAUUGAGUAGAUCAGCGAGGCAUUCCAUAUUUUCUUUUGAAGUUAGAUUUGUACUCUUGAGGAUGGAUGAAGGAAUGGGUAUACACAAGAGUUAAAUGGUUGACAACACAAGUAGUCAAUAUUAGAAAAAAAAUUGAGGACAAAGAGCGAAACCUCAUUCUACAAGCCAUUGGUGCAAACAGUUCUAGUUAAAAGGAUAACUUUAGGUUUAAUCUUACUGGAUAGAAUAAAAGGUUUUGAAAGGUAACGAGGCAUUGGUGAUGGAAAGUAAUCUAGGAAAUAAAAUUAUGAUUGUCAUGGGAGGAACAUGGCAUAAGGAGGUAGAUUUGAUAUAAAUAACUCUAUUUGAGAUUCUAGAUCUAGAGUGGAAUACAAUGAUAAUAAAUAUUUUAAUUGUCAUUGCAAAGGCCAUGUUUGGUAUCAUUGUGAGAAGAUGAAAGCCGCCUUAGAAGAAUUACGAGAAAUCUAGAGAUGUUACGAAAACCAUGAAAGAUGGGAGUAAAGAUGAUGAUGUUCUCAUGGAUCAUAAAUGUAAUUAGGUUUUGAAAAAUUCAUGGAUUGUAGAUUAUGCAUGCUCCUUUCAUAAACAUUAUUUAAAGAAAUAAUGUUUUGAUACUUACAAAGAAUAUGAUGGAGAUUCUAUAGCGCUAGAAAACCCUUUGUGAUGUUAGUCACAUGCCAAGACUUAAAAGAAAGAAAGUUUGUGAAACCGAAAAUCUUACCAUUUUGCGAACUACUGCUUCCUGCGAUUUGUUCCAUACACCUCUCGCAGCAUCAUCCUCAUGCUUGGUAUCGAUUCGCUUGCUCUGACCAAGGACAAGGAAAGACAGUAUUGGGUUAUGAAAAUAAAUAUAAAAUCAAUUUUUAUAUAAAUUUUUUUUCAUAUUCAUUUUUUUUCUCAUUUUUAUUAUUUUUAUAUAAAAUAAAAUAAAAAUAGUGAAAAAUUGGGUUAUGAAAAUAAAUAUAAAAUCAAUCACCAUCAUCAUUACCAUCACAUCACCAUCACUUGUUAUUAGGGAUUUUCUUUGAUGGCUCAAAUAGAAAAAGACCUUAAACAGUUAUGAUAGGCUUGUAGACUUAAAAUAACAUAUAUAAAAUAUGUGUUCCAUAUGCAAGAUUCUUUCGACCAUGUUUUGAGAAUAGACCUAGAUGUGGUGCCAUAAUUUUGAUUUCAAAGCUACUAUUGGCUUUUAGAAUCUUUGUACAAAGCUCAUAACUUAGUUUAGAAUAAACAUACAAGCCAGGAAAAGCUCUAUCUAGGUGUAAGGGUACUAUACUACCUAAUACAAAGGGUAUCACAACAAGAGAAUAAGAGAACAACCUAGAAGGAUGAACCAGAAUGGCAGGACUGUUAUUCCCCUGUUGCUUCUCAAAGAAAUAGAGGAACGCGUAAGAACCAAAGAAGAUAGGGACAAAAAAGAAAGAACAAACACGGGGAAGAAGGACUAAGGAGCACAUAACAGAGGAAACCAGAGGAGAAAGCAAAUAAAAAAUAGAAAGAAAGAGAAGAGAAUCUUCCAAAGCUAGUGUUAUUCCCAGUCUUUCGCCUCCAACAAUGUUUGCAGAUUAGGUAAGUUUUUUGUUCUCUCCUCUUUUAUUUUUCAUUACAAAGUCAUUGUGCAGCUUGAAUUUAAUUAAUCCUUCACUGUGCACACACGUGUUGCAUGUGCCUCCUGCUGGCCAGCCGGGUCAGAAUAGCAGGAUUGUUAUUCCUUGUUGCUUCUCAAAGAAACAAAGGAAUGCGUAAGAACCAGAGAAGAUAGGGACGAAAAGAAAAGAACAAACACGGGGAAGAAGGACUAAGGAGCACAUAACAAAGGAAACCAGAGGAGAAAACAAAUAAAAAAUAGAAAAGAAGAGAAGAGAAUCUUCCAAAGCCAGUGUUAUUCCCAGUCUUUCGCCUCCAACAACGUCUGCAGAUCAGGUAAGUUUUUCGUUCCCUCCUCUUUCAUUUUUCAUUACAAAGUCACUGUGUAGCUUGAAUUUAAUUAAUCCUUCACUGUGCACACACGCAUUGCGUGUGCCUCCUGCUGGCCAGCCGGGUCAGAAUAGCAGAAUUGUUAUUCCCCUGUUGCUUCUCAAAGAAACAGAGGAAUGCGUAAGAACCAGAGAAGAUAGGGACGAAAGAGAAAGAACAAACACGAGGAAGAAGGACUAAUGAGCACAUAAUAGAGGAAACCAGAGGAGAAAGCAAAUAAUAAAAAAAAAGUAGAAAAAAUAAAAAAAUAAAAAAUAUGUAUACAUGAAUAAAAAUAAUAUAAAUUUAUUGGUUUAUUCAUUGACGCCAGAGUCAAGAAUAAAAAUACCGGUUUAAAUUUAUAUUAUUUUUAUUCAUUGUAUUUUAUUUUAUUUAGCUAGUAAAAUAAAAAAUAUGUUCAUGCAUAAAACUAAAUUUAUUUUUAUUUAUUUAUUCACUGAUGUUAGAGUCAUAAAUAUUGAUCUAAAUUUAUUUUAUAGCUACGUAAUAUUUACCAAUGCCAGAGUUGGAAGUAUCCGUAGUUGAAUAUUCACUAGCACCAGAGUCAGGAAUAUUAUAAGCAAAUUAUCAUGGCAUAAACCAAUAAACGUUUAACAAUUAAGACAAAACCAGCAAUGUAGUUUGCCUCAGGCAGGACGUUUAAGGGGUGAUAAUAUCUUUCCUUUUACGUAACCAGUCUCGAACCAUAGAAUCUCUAUUGACCAGUUAGGGUUCCUAGUUACCAUAAUAUUAGGUGACGACUCUUUAAAUAAGACAUUUUCCCUAAAAGAACAAAAUGCUAGAUAUCUGUUUUAUUUUCUAUAAUCAAGAAAAAUUUUAAAGCCGCUGCGAUAUCGGGUGUGACAACAUGGCCUGAGAUAAAUUUUACUAGUAAACUAUCUUUCUCUCACACCUUACAUGCUCUUGUAAGAAUAAAAUUGUGUAAACUUAGUUCUCUUGAAAGGUAAGAAAAUUAGUGUUUAAGCUCAAAAAGGAUAAGGGACAUGAUGUUGAUACAUAUAUAACGCCAAAGUAUAAUUCAACAAAGCUUUAAAGUUUCAAUUGAUUCAAAGAAUGCCUAAAUAAUUUCUUAAGUAACAUUUUAUUCAAGAAACCAUGAGCAUCAUCAAACAACUUUUAGAGUUUGUUAAGAUCAUAUAAAUUUACAAUAUUCACAUAAAAUUUCUCUACGUACGCAGAAUAAUUAUUGAUCUUGAUGACCAUUCAUUGAAUAUAGAAAAUCUUAAAUUAAGCAAAAUCAAGUCAAGAAUUAACAAAUAGACUCAAGCAAUAAGAUAUUUUCCUGAGAACUAUAAUAAAUUUCAACCAUAAUUCUCCAUGCUUUAGAAUACAUUUUACAGCACUUUGAACAUUAUAUAUAUAAAGAAUCCAACCCCAUAUCAUAGCUCAGGUCCACGACUAGUACAUACUAUUUAUCAAAAACACAUGCGAUUAGUUGUUGUCAAACUAUUUAGUGCUAAGAAUUCGAGAGUCAAGUACGUUCUGAAUUAUAUAUAACCAGAGUCGUUACAGAGAGAAGAGAAAGAGCUUAAUAUCUAUUUGUUACAAAUUACGUGAGAUUUAAAUACAAGAUAAAAUGCCCUCCCGUUUGCAAGCUAUUCUCUACCCAUAAGAGAAGUCCGUACAUCCAUCCUUCUUUUCAUUCGAGCCAUGAAUUUAAAGGGAUUUGCACGCAGGAAAGACAAUACUGAAUUUGCAGUUGAAAGCAUCAAUCCAUAGGAACAAACUAAUUGGGUAAAAAAAAGAUAGGCUUGUAAUGUGAUGAUGGUUAUGAAAAAUCCAGUACGUUCUUGCACCGUGAUUGCCAGGAUGAAUGUGUAUGCUAAACCCAUGCAGAGAAGGGAGUAAAAAUUAAGAAAUGUCGCCAUCUCCAUGCUUGAUGUUACAUAACUGGUACGACCUAAUGACAUCUGACAAAGGAUUAUAGCGGCGAUGAGGGAGAAAUUCAUAGCUAGCAUGUCAAAAAAAAUAUAAGCUCUCAUCAGAUUUUUUGAACUACCACUGCUAAGAUCAGAACCUGAUCCAGGCACAGUGAUAGCACCAGCGAAGGUUACUCCAGCUACCAGUACUGCCACCACGAGAAGAUUCCCUACCCCUCUGUUCCGUUCCUCCGUCGUUAACGUCGUUAAAUCAAAGUUAAGAUUGAUGUCAAACUCAGUCUUAUCACCUGCCUCCACCAAAACUUUUAAUACCUCACGCUGAACAACAAAGUAUUAAUUAGAAAAUAUAUGGUAAACAAAAUAUAUAAAGCAUCAUGACAAUGUUAGCUUAAUGUCCAAUAAUAACGAAGAAGGAAUUCAUCGCUAUUUAGUAGAUCAGUGAGAUAUUCCAUAUUUUUGAGCAAGUAAAGAACUUUAUUUCCAUUUUGGAUUAAUCAAAUUUAAGGUAAUUAAAAGAAAUCUAUCAUUCCCGUUCCGUAAAGUUGCUACUAGAAUAUAUUUUGGAUAAAAUGUGGAUGUAAAAGUUUUUGCUAUACCAGAAUAUAUUUGCGUCCAUCACUUGAUUAGCUUCUUAUGUGGACCCAAACGGCUAGAAUACUAAGUAAUUUGACUUAAAGGAAAUUUUUUGUGUCUUCUCUUGUUCUACAGGUAUAAAAAAAAUCAAAUGUGACUGAAGUUUUGACAAUUAAUAGAGCUUUUCAAGUAAGUAUUGAUUAUUCAUAUAAUGCCAUUACAUUGGUCAAAACUCACAAUAUUAUAAGAUCAUGACGCUUACAACAUGAAUUCAAUAACAUUUUAAAUUCUUGUAGUAUCUUGUUUUGUGAACUUUACACAUGUUCUUAGUAAUCAUGUCACACAGAUCAUUUGGCAAAGCAAUGGCAAAGCAAGGAAUGCAUAGAGAAGCGAAUUUAGUUACAUGGUUUUUGUUUUUAUUAAUUUCAAAGUUUGGUUUAUGUUAUGGCUUUGUGGGUUUAUAGGACAUUGACAUCAAAUUGUUUAAUAGAAAAAAAAAAAAAAAAACGAUUUCGUUCUUUGAUAGUGAAGAAUGUUUUAGCAACUCAAGGACUUGAUAUUUAUCUUAAGAAAACUAUAGGUGCAUAAAUCCAGGACAAUAAUCGGAACUCAAUUAAGAAGAAAUCAUCAAGUCAAAUUCGAUUGGCUUUGACUCUUUAGGUCAAGUACAAUAUCUGAGCCCUGAGGUGAGUUGACACUUGAGGGAUAUGGGAAAAACUAGAGAGUAUUUAUGCUUCUAGACCCAUGGCUAAUCGUUGAAGUUAGAUUUGUACUCUUGAGGGAUGGAAAGGAAUGGAUAUACACAACUAUCUUUCAAGAGUUAACAGGUUUGACAACACAAGUAGUCAAUACUGAAAAAAAAAAAUAUUGAGGAUAAAGAGCGAAACCUCAUGUUUAAAUGAUGUAAUCUUACUGGAGAAUGAAAGGUUUUGAAAGUAGAAAACAAUGUCAAAAGGUAACGAGGCAUUGGUGAUAGGAGCAAAAGAUGAUGUUCUCAUGGAUCAUAAAUGUAAUAAGGUUUUGAAAAAUUCAUGGAUUGUAGAUUUUGCAUGCUCCUUUCAUAUUUAUUUAAAGAAAGAAUGUUUUAUUACUUACAAAGAAUAUGAUGGAGAUUCUACAGCGCUAGUAAAUGAUAAUAAAAUCAAAGUUGCUAGAAUUGAUAAUGUUUAAAUUAAGAUAUAUAAUGAAGCAAUAAAAACCCUUUGUGAUGUUAGGCACGUUCAUAUUAAAAUAAUGUUAUUUAUUUAUUUUUUAAUUUUUAUUUAUUUAUUAAAAUAAUGUUAUUUAUUUAUUUUAUUUAAAAAAUACUUUCAAAACAUAAUUCCAUACAUAAAGUUAGUUGUGGUGCGUUCUUGGAGAUUAAUAAUAAUAAUUUCUAUAAGUUGAUAUAAAGUGCAGUUUAAGUCGAAGCAUAAGAUAAAGUGCAGUUUUAGUGAAACCGAAAAUCUUACCAUUUUGCGAACUUCUACGUCCUGCGAUUUAUUCCAUACACCUCUCGCAGCAUCAUCCUCACGCUUGGUAUCGAUUAGCAUGUUCUGAGCAAGUACAAGCAAAGACGGUAUUAAUUUGUAAGUAUACAUUCGAAACUGAAUUUGAAUGUAUUUUCUUGCAAUCAGUUAAGGUUGUCCUUUUCAUUAUCAUUUUUUGCAAGUAUAUAUGAUGAUUAAUUUGGAGUAUGAUCCCCCGUGAUGUUUCAAGAGCAAUUGCAAGCCCAUUGGCACCAUAAGGUCAGUUUUCGAAAAGGCUCAGCAUAUAAGCAUACCAUUCCAUCUGACUUUGGUGCUUCAAUGCGUCCGCCUUGCAAUAAUUUCGCAACAACACCAGAUGGUUUCAACUUUUCAUUAUUAACAAUCCUUUUAUCCACCCGCUUGUCACUCACUAGUGCCUGCACUAUCUCAGGACGGCCAUACAUUGCAGCCAAGUGCAAAGGUGUGUUUCCAUCGUAAUCUUUCUCAUUUAUAAGAGCUUCCAGAUCUCGAUUUCUCAAUAAUUCAUCCACUAUUUUCAUCUGUCCACUCUCCGCUGCAACAUGAAGAAUAUUCUGUCUCUUUUCGUUGAGAAAAUCCAUUGG
rnacentral:lncRNA from 1 species